rnacentral:pre_miRNA from 1 species
GUCACCUUGGGACCUUGUUAAAAUGCGGUUUCUGUUCAGCAGGACCAGGGUAGGGCCUGAGAUGCUACAUUUCUAGCAAGCUCCCAGGUGAUGCUAC